ACCGUAUCCUAGAUUAAAUAUAGUAUAUAGUAUAAUAUACUAUAUUUAAUCUAUGAUCGUGAAUAAAUAUGUGUGAGCUAAUGUCAAAUUUUUCUAAAGUGGUGUAGAUUUUGGGGCUUGCUCCUGCUUCACCACGGGUUGGCCCGGUAUUGCACUACCACCGGGACGGCCCAAAUAAU
rnacentral:snRNA from 1 species